GACGUAGGGGGCGAGCGUUGUCCGGAUUUAUUGGGCGUAAAGAGCGCGUAGGCGGCCCGUUAAGUCGGAUGUGAAAACCCGUGGCUCAACCACGGGCCUGCAUCCGAUACUGGCGGGCUCGAGGCAGGCAGGGGAGAUCGGAAUUCCUGGUGUAGCGGUGAAAUGCGCAGAUAUCAGGAGGAACACCAAUGGCGAAGGCAGCUCGCUGGGACGUGACUGACGCUGAGACGCGAAAGCGUGGGGAGCAAACAGG
rnacentral:rRNA from 1 species